AUCUCUCUCUGUCAUGAAUAAAUAAAAUCUUGAAAAGAAAAAAAAGUGCAAGGCCCUCCUCCUGAGCAUGGAGACUUGUGUGACUGCACAGGUUGGACCUCUGUGCAGCUGGUGCCAGUUGAGGCUUAUGCUCCCCGAGGAAGCCAGGAAGUGGUGAGACGACCUGGACUAUCCUCGAGGACCCCAACCUUCGAGGAGACUCCCCCAAAUCAUGUGUGCUAGAACUCCCCGAGGAAGAGGUUUUGAGGCCAGUGGGAACGCUUUGGAGAAAAGCAAGCAAGGAGUCGAAGGAGACACAGAAAGAAGCAGAGACACAGGAGGACAGACGGGCUCCCCACGAGGAGCCGAGCGGGGGACCCGAUGCCAGGACCUUUGGGACACGACGGGGACAAAGGCAGAUGCUCAACCACCGAGCCACCCAGGCGCCCUCUUGAAAAUAAUAUUGGCAAGAAGAUUCCUGUGAAUGUAACAUCUAUGCUAAUCGAGUUCUAAAUUGAAAAGAAUGUCAAAUCUCCUGUAACAUAUUAGCAGUUUACUUCACCUUUGCAGUAACUGCAAUUGAAAUCUGUCUCAAAACAAAUAUGUAGUUGGAGAUACUGUAAUAGAAGUGGUCCUUCUUUCCAAAUAAGUGGAUCUAAAAGUUUGAAUUGGGUCUAAAAUGUUUCCUAUUUAUACCGAUUAAAUCAUGCAACAGUGAAACCUU